AGCAGCCGCGGUAAUUCCAGCUCCAAUAGCGUAUAUUAAAGUUGUUGCAGUUAAAAGCUCGUAGUUGAAUUUCGGGAUCAACAUGCCGAUCGUGCCUCCGGUACGUACUGGUAUCGUUGAUUUCUACCUUCUGACGAAUCACGAUGUCAUUAAUUUGGUGUCGUGGGGAAUCAGGACUGUUACUUUGAAAAAUUAGAGUGUUUAAAGCAGGCACACGCUUGAAUACAUUAGCAUGGAAUAAUGAAAUAGGACGUUUGACCCUAUUUUGUUGGUUUCUAGGAUCGACGUAAUGAUUAAUAGGGAUAGUUGGGGGCAUUAGUAUUCAAUUGUCAGAGGUGAAAUUCUUGGAUUUAUUGAAGACUAACUACUGCGAAAGCAUUUGCCAAGGAUGUUUUCAUUAAUCAAGAACGAAAGUUAGGGGAUCGAAGACGAUCAGAUACCGUCGUAGUC
rnacentral:rRNA from 1 species